rnacentral:rRNA from 1 species
GAGUUUGAUCCUGGCUCAGAUUGAACGCUGGCGGCAGGCCUAACACAUGCAAGUCGAGCGGUAGAGAGAAGCUUGCUUCUCUUGAGAGCGGCGGACGGGUGAGUAAUGCCUAGGAAUCUGCCUGGUAGUGGGGGAUAACGCUCGGAAACGGACGCUAAUACCGCAUACGUCCUACGGGAGAAAGCAGGGGACCUUCGGGCCUUGCGCUAUCAGAUGAGCCUAGGUCGGAUUAGCUAGUUGGUGAGGUAAUGGCUCACCAAGGCGACGAUCCGUAACUGGUCUGAGAGGAUGAUCAGUCACACUGGAACUGAGGCACGGUCCAGACUCCUACGGGAGGCAGCAGUGGGGAAUAUUGGACAAUGGGCGAAAGCCUGAUCCAGCCAUGCCGCGUGUGUGAAGAAGGUACUUCGGAUUGUAAAGCACUUUAAGUUGGGUAGGAAGGGCAGUAAAUUAAUACUUUGCUGUUUUGACGUUACCGACAGAAUAAGCA